UACAGAGGUCCCAAGCGUUGUUCGGAUUCAUUGGGCGUAAAGGGUGCGUAGGUGGCGCCGUAAGUCGGGUGUGAAAUUUCGGAGCUUAACUCCGAAACUGCAUUCGAUACUGCGGUGCUUGAGGACUGGAGAGGAGACUGGAAUUCGUGGUGUAGCAGUGAAAUGCGUAGAGAUCAUGAGGAAGACCAGUGGCGAAGGCGGGUCGUCUGGACAGUUCCUGACACUGAGGCACGAAGGCCAGGGGAGCAAACGGG
rnacentral:rRNA from 1 species